rnacentral:rRNA from 1 species
UACGUAGGGGGCAAGCGUUGUCCGGAUUUAUUGGGCGUAAAGAGCGUGUAGGCGGUCAGGUAGGUCCGUUGUGAAAACUCGAGGCUCAACCUCGAGACGCCGAUGGAAACCAUCUGACUAGAGUCCGGAAGAGGAGAGUGGAAUUCCUGGUGUAGCGGUGAAAUGCGCAGAUAUCAGGAAGAACACCCGUGGCGAAGGCGGCUCUCUGGGACGGUACUGACACUGAGACGCGAAAGCGUGGGGAGCGAACAGG